UGCCAGACUCCUACGGGAGGCAGCAGUGGGGAAUAUUGCACAAUGGGGGAAACCCUGAUGCAGCGACGCCGCGUGAGCGAUGAAGUAUUUCGGUAUGUAAAGCUCUCUCAGCAGGGAAGAAGAUGACGGUACCUGACUAAGAAGCCCCGGCUAACUACGUGCCAGCAGCCGCGGUAAUACGUAGGGGGCAAGCGUUAUCCGGAUUUACUGGGUGUAAAGGGAGCGUAGACGGCGAUGCAAGCCAGAUGUGAAAGCCCGGGGCCCAACCCCGGGACUGCCCUUGGAACUGCGCGGCUGGAGUGCAGGAGGGGCAGGCGGAAUUCCUGGUGUAGCGGUGAAAUGCGUAGAUAUCAGGAGGAACACCGGUGGCGAAGGCGGCCUGCUGGACUGCGACUGACGUUGAGGCCCGAAAGCGUGGGGAGCAAACAGGAUUAGAUACCCCCGUACA
rnacentral:rRNA from 1 species